rnacentral:rRNA from 1 species
UACGUAGGGUGCGAGCGUUGUCCGGAAUUAUUGGGCGUAAAGAGCUCGUAGGCGGUCUGUCGCGUCGGCUGUGAAAACCCGGAGCUCAACUCCGGGCCUGCAGUCGAUACGGGCAAACUGGAGUGCGGUAGGGGAGACUGGAAUUCCUGGUGUAGCGGUGAAAUGCGCAGAUAUCAGGAGGAACACCGGUGGCGAAGGCGGGUCUCUGGGCCGUAACUGACGCUGAGGAGCGAAAGCGUGGGGAGCGAACAGG